rnacentral:lncRNA from 1 species
CUGCAAGUGAACAAUCAGUACCUGGGGUAAGGCUAGACUCAGCAUGAAGAACUGGAUGUCAGACCCUCAGCAACAAGUGGUUUGCCCUACAGAGUGUUAAGGGACUUGCAGUCUUCCUUGUCAGGGAGGAGAAUUGAAGGUAGUGCUGCUUUGUGAUCCAGCCUGUGAAGUGCUCUCUGCAACUACUGCAACUGGAGUAAAAACAAAAGAAAUAAUUUUGCGACCAUGCAAGGAAACUGUUGCCUUAGGCUGACCCAGGAACUGUUGGAUGUGUGCUGAGAGAAGUCACUGAUUCUAGGAGGCCCAGCUUUAUGGUUCUUUCAGAGAGUACAGCUCCCUUGCCAGAGGUCUUUGGCACUCAGCAGCAGGCAAAGGUUGCAAGUGAGACUCUCACCAGAUGUAUUUGAAAGGAAAGCUGAA